GCGUAGCGUGGUACUUCGCUCUUGCAUUCGUAAUGCGUAGGUCGGUGGUUCGAGUCCACUUACCGGCACCA
rnacentral:tRNA from 1 species